GAGGGUCAACAAAAAAGUUAUGGCAAUGUUCGAGAAAGCUGAAGAUGAAUACAAUGACUUUAUCCAAGAAAAACAUCAUUGAGAAUGAUAAGUCAAAAUUCAAGAAGGUGAUUGAAGAGCUUGAUGAAAAGAAGGAAACACUAAAAGUUACUUGGGUUAAAGUGAACAAAUGGCUGAAACUAUGGUCCAAAUUAUAGUAUCCGGCUUCCUUGGAUCCCUGGAUCAGACGAAUUCAGUGGAUCCCGGGGAUAGGCUGUGUUUAUGUAUUUGCUCGAAAUUAAUGGAGUAGACCCGGAUGUGCGUCGGAGCUAUCCGGAUGAGCGGGGGUCCCUAGAAGGUGGGAACCGCUGUUAUGACCAUGAUGAAGCUGUCCAUUUCCUAUGGAUAGCAUUGGAGGGGCCUGGCCAUUUGGAUAGGCCAUGUUUAUGUAUUUACUCGAAAUUGAUGGAGCAGACCCGGAUAUGCGUUAGAUC